GGGCCUGUAGCUCAAUUGGUAAGAGCCAGCGGCUCAUAACCGCUUGGUUGGGGGUUCAAGUCCCUCCAGGCCCACCA
rnacentral:tRNA from 1 species